ensembl:rRNA 5S_rRNA 5S ribosomal RNA
GUCUAUGGCCAUACUACCCUGAACAAGCCCGAUUCUGUAUGAUCUUGGAAACUAAACAGGGUCGGGUCUGGUUAGUACUUGAAUGAAAGACCAUCUAGGAAGGCCAGGUGCUUUAGGUG